GCAUAUCAAUAAGCGGAGGAAAAGAAACUAACAAGGAUUCCCCUAGUAACGGCGAGUGAAGAGGGAAGAGCCCAAGAUUGAAAGCUGGCGUCUUCGGCGUCCGCAUUGUAAUCUCAAGAAGUGUUUUCCGCUUCGGACCAAGCCUAAGUCCCUUGGAAAAGGGCAUCAUAGAGGGUGAUAAUCCCGUACAUGGCUUGGAGCGCCCGAAGCUUUGUGAUACGCUUUCUAAGAGUCGAGUUGUUUGGGAAUGCAGCUCAAAAUGGGUGGUAAAUGCCAUCUAAGGCUAAAUAUUGGGGAGAGACCGAUAGCGAACAAGUACAGUGAUGGAAAGAUGAAAAGAACUUUGAAAAGAGAGUUAAACAGUACGUGAAAUUGCCAAAAGGGAAGGGUAGGAGGUCAGAGAUGCGGCCUGGGAUUCAGCCUUGCUUUUGCUUGGUGUUUUUCCCAGAUUGCAGGCCAACGUCGGUUUUGGGCACUGGAGAAGGGUAGGAGGAACGUGGCACCUCUCGGGGUGUGUUAUAGCCUCCUACUGGAUACAGCGACCGAGACCGAGGACAGCAGCGUACUCGCAAGAGCGGGCCUUCGGGCACCUUUACGCUUAGGGCGUUGGCAUAAUGGCCCUCUACC
rnacentral:rRNA from 1 species